UACGUAGGGUGCGAGCGUUGUCCGGAAUUAUUGGGCGUAAAGAGCUCGUAGGCGGUUUGUCGCGUCCUGCCGUGAAAGUCCGGGGCUCAACUCCGGAUCUGCGGUGGGUCGGGGCAGACUAGAGUGAUGUAGGGGAGACUGGAAUUCCUGGUGUAGCGGUGAAAUGCGCAGAUAUCAGGAGGAACACCGAUGGCGAAGGCAGGUCUCUGGGCAUUAACU
rnacentral:rRNA from 1 species